AUUAAAUUUAAAUUAUCUGACUUCUUUGAAAGUACUUGAAAGAACUCCACUCAUAUGAAAGUAAAAAGAGGUCGACAAGGAGAGGUGCAUAGUUAGUUCCCAUACGAAUGCCGAUAAUUUUUGAAUACGUGUACCUCCAAAUAAAUGUGUAUAUAAAAAAAGAAUAUGUAGUAUAGUUGCAAAUGAGACAGCUCCCCACAAAAGACCAAAAUGCACAGAAAUUACCAACUAUAGGUCACCGUACGACCUUCAACAAUGAGCAAAGCUCAUACCGCAUAUUCAGCUAUAAAAGGCCC
rnacentral:lncRNA from 1 species